rnacentral:misc_RNA from 1 species
AUGAAAACUUCAGGAGUUGCUGCUGGCCUCUCGAGGCACUCGUGCACGCUCCGUUUUUCAUCCACCCACACCUGUGCACAAUCCAUUUUGAGAGGAAGAAAGGGAUUUCUUCGGAGAGUCCUCUUUUCCUCCGAAAUUUAUCACACACUCUACGCAAUAGUCAGAACGAACUUGUUUUUUGUAAACAAACUUAA